CGUCACACCAUGAGAGUUGGGAAUACCCGAACGCCUGUGAGCCAACCGUAAGGGGGCAGCAGUCGAAGGUAGAAUCAAUGAUUGGGUGAAGUCGUAACAAGGUAGC
rnacentral:rRNA from 1 species